AGUGAACGCUGGCGGUAGGCCUAACACAUGCAAGUCGAACGGCAGCACAGUAAGAGCUUGCUCUUACGGGUGGCGAGUGGCGGACGGGUGAGGAAUACAUCGGAAUCUACUUUUUCGUGGGGGAUAACGUAGGGAAACUUACGCUAAUACCGCAUACGACCUACGGGUGAAAGCAGGGGAUCUUCGGACCUUGCGCGAUUGAAUGAGCCGAUGUCGGAUUAGCUAGUUGGCGGGGUAAAGGCCCACCAAGGCGACGAUCCGUAGCUUGUCUGAGAGGAUGACCAGCCACACUGGAACUGAGACACGGUCCAGACUCCUACGGGAGGCAGCAGUGGGGAAUAUUGGACAAUGGGCGCAAGCCUGAUCCAGCCAUACCGCGUGGGUGAAGAAGGCCUUCGGGUUGUAAAGCCCUUUUGUUGGGAAAGAAAAGCAGCAGGUUAAUACCCCGCUGUUCUGACGGUACCCAAAGAAUAAGCACCGGCUAACUUCGUG
rnacentral:rRNA from 1 species